GACAGAGGCCUCGAGCGUUAGGCGGAAUUACUGGGCGUAAAGCGUGCGCAGGCGGUUAUGCAAGGCAGAUGUGAAAUCCCCGGGCUUAACCUGGGAACUGCAUUUGUGACUGCAUAGCUGGAGUGCGGCAGAGGGGGAUGGAAUUCCGCGUGUAGCAGUGAAAUGCGUAGAUAUGCGGAGGAACACCGAUGGCGAAGGCAAUCCCCUGGGCCUGCACUGACGCUCAUGCACGAAAGCGUGGGGAGCAAACAGG
rnacentral:rRNA from 1 species